rnacentral:rRNA from 1 species
UACGUAGGUGGCAAGCGUUGUUCGGAAUUAUUGGGCGUAAAGGGCGCGUAGGCGGUUGGUUAAGUCAGCUGUGAAAGCCCGGGGCUCAACCCCGGAGGGUCGGCUGAUACUGAUUGACUAGAGUACGGAAGAGGUAGCUGGAAUUCCCGGUGUAGCGGUGAAAUGCGUAGAUAUCUGGAGGAACACCGGUGGCGAAGGCGGCAUCCUGGACCGAUAUUGACGCUGAUGCGCGAAAGCCAGGGGAGCAAACGGG